rnacentral:lncRNA from 1 species
AUGGAGCAGCGACCCCCAAGAGUGCCCAAGUUGGCCUGGCUUGAGGAGGAGGAAGAAGAAGGCCCUGGAGCUGUCCCGGCACAGGAGUCUGAAGAGGUGCAGGAGUUCCAGGCACCACAGGAGGGUGAGUUGCAGAGCUCGGCCUUAGGGCUAGUGCCUGUUGCCAGCUUGGCCCCAUCCCAUUCCAUGCCAUGCCAUCCCCUGGUGCUGUUCCUAUGGAAAGGAUGGGAGAGUCCGAAAGAAGACAGGGAGCAGCGACCCCCAAGAGUGCCCAAGCUGGCCUGGGUGGAGAAGGAGGAAGAGGAGGUCGAGGAAGAAGGUCCUGGAGCUGCCCCAGCACCAGAGACCGAAGAGGUGCAGCAGUUGCAGCCGCUGGAGGAGGAUGCAGCCAUGGACGGCACACAAGAGCAGGACACCGCCCGUGGCCGCUUCCGCAGAGCAGCGCAGUUUCUUUACCAAUACAUCAAGAGAAUUGGCAAGGAAGACACCAGUCCCAUGGACACUGAGGUCAAGGCAUCCUCAGAGGUCUUGGUAGAGCAGAGCAGCGCUGCCCAGCUGGAUAUGCUUGUAGAGACGGCUCUUUUCAAUCCAGAGCAAGUGCCCGGCGUGGUGAGGUACAUCCACCAGUGGCUCAUGGCCAAUGAGGCUGCUGAGCACAGGAUGGACUGGGCCCUGAUGCAAGUGUCUGAGGCAGAGCCUGAUGAUGUGGCCAUCACCCUCCUGCAGGUGGCCCCAACGUGUGACAGAGCUGCUAUGGCCAUGUGGACGACCAUCUUGCUCUCGCCUUGGAUUUCAGAGGAAGUGACACCACUCCUCAUCAAUGUGGUGGGGAGCUGGCCGCAGAAAAACCUGGGCACCUCUGAUGGGGACAAGACGGCUGUCUUUUCCCUGACUGCAACUCUGGUGAUGUGGAAGAUCCUCCAGGGGCCCUGUUGCCCACAGAUCCUCACAGUCUAUUUCCCCCGCCUCUUUGUGCAUCUGCUCUUCCAAACGUACUUCAGUACUUUGUAUAUGACAGAGGACGUCCAUACCUUCUGGAAGGAAUGCCAGGAGCAACACGGCCUCUCCACCAGCCCCAACAGGUUUGCAGUGCAGACCCUGAAGGCCCUGCUCUGCAGUCUCCACUUGGAGCAUGUGGUGGUGGCAAUGGAACACAAGCGUGGCUGGGACACGCUGCUCUGUGCUGACACCCACCACUAUGCCGUGGGUCUGCUGGCCAGCUCCUAG